AUUGAACGCUGGCGGCAGGCCUAACACAUGCAAGUCGAGCGGAUGAAGGGAGCUUGCUCCUGGAUUCAGCGGCGGACGGGUGAGUAAUGCCUAGGAAUCUGCCUGGUAGUGGGGGAUAACGUCCGGAAACGGGCGCUAAUACCGCAUACGUCCUGCGGGAGAAAGUGGGGGAUCUUCGGACCUCACGCUAUCAGAUGAGCCUAGGUCGGAUUAGCUAGUUGGUGGGGUAAAGGCCUACCAAGGCGACGAUCCGUAACUGGUCUGAGAGGAUGAUCAGUCACACUGGAACUGAGACACGGUCCAGACUCCUACGGGAGGCAGCAGUGGGGAAUAUUGGACAAUGGGCGAAAGCCUGAUCCAGCCAUGCCGCGUGUGUGAAGAAGGUCUUCGGAUUGUAAAGCACUUUAAGUUGGGAGGAAGGGCAGUAAGUUAAUACCUUGCUGUUUUGACGUUACCAACAGAAGAAGCACCGGCUAACUUCGUG
rnacentral:rRNA from 1 species